UGAGACCUAAUCUGGAGAAAAGUCAUG
rnacentral:piRNA from 1 species